rnacentral:pre_miRNA from 1 species
AAAAAGACAAACCCUGAUUUUCGUGUCCAACAUUUAACCGUCCAUCUUAUUUAAAAAAAUUAUAAAAAAAAUUAAAAAGAUAAGUCGCACAUAAAAUAUUAAUCAUGUUUUAUCAUCUAACAACAAUGAAAAUACGAAUUAUAAAAAAAAUUUAUAUAAGACAGACAGUCAAAGUUGGACACGAAAACCCAGGGUUUGUCUUUUU